CCUGUUCCAGGAAGGGGAAAUGUGAAUAAAAAUAAUGUACCAUACACAGUAUCUUUAGCAAAAUCCACAUAAAUAUUUUAUAGCCUGUACAGUAAAUAAUGUAUAUGUUUAGAAAAGCAAUGUAAAUAUUUUAUAGGCUGCAGAGUAACUGUUAAGGUUGAAAUGAAAUCACUAUGUUUGGAGAAAUACGGCAUGCCCUAAAUGGUACCACACAAUUUUACUGUAGCUUAGCGCAGUACACUUCAUAAAUCAUGGCAUUCUCUGCAUUACCUGGGAGUUCAAGAAUCCCAGUGGCCCAGUGGGCUCCUCCCUUCUUCCCCUACUGCUGUGAGAGACCCCACCUCCCACCUUACCACUCAAGGCCCUGCUUUGAACUAUGGCAGUGAUGGAUACCUGCUCCUUGAGAAACUGAGCCAGGGCGUGUGCAAGAACUCACCCAGAACGCCUCAUUUUCAUGGGGAGGGUGGUGAGAAAACUGCUCAGGAAGGGACAGAGAAAACACCGAAUGAAUUCCAGAUGUAACCUGAGUUCCUGCAUGUAUUUUUUCAGGUGGCUCAGGACACAUCAUCUUUGUUUCCUAAAAUCCGCUCCUCGUGAGUCUUGAUUGGCUGGUCCCAGGUUCAGUGAUGCAUCAAUGCCCUUGUGAUGCUUAAAUAUUAUAAUAUUUACCAGAUUGUGUGAAAAAGACACAGGUGUCUUCUGCAAGACGGAUAAUAGAAAUAGCAAAAUCUUCAGAGGAAGGGCAAAAUCAUGUCAGGCAGCUCUUUUUCCAGCUCCCUGAAACAAUGGGAAUCAAGAAUAAUGUGGCUAAUCUAAGGCUACAGCAAAUGUUUCUACAAUUAGUUACCUGAAAAGCAGAAGAAGAGGUUUCCCACUUUAUGUUUUACAGAUGGCUGCCCUAAUAAUGUCUUUGAGAGAGAAACAUCUCAAACCUGUAAGAAAAACAAAUAGGUAAUAAACAAAAAAGAAACCUAUGGAUGUAAAGAUUAUACUUAGAACUCUUUGAUAAGUCAGCCAAGCAAUAAGAGCAAAGUUGUCCUAAAAUGUCAGAACACAGAAAAGGAUCCAGGAAGAGAGGAAAGAAGAUAUAAAUUAGAAACCAUAGCAGGUUAAGGCUGUUGCACAAUAUUAAAAGAAUCGUGCUGAAAUGCCAUAAUGGGGGAGGGGGACUGUAAGAGCAAAAGGCAGCAAAAAGCUCCCAAAGGUAGUAAUUCACACAUAUGAUCAUCUAGGAUCUUGUUUUAAAUGUAGACUACUGAGCCUUCGUCCCCGUAAUUUGAAUUCAUAAGGUUUAUAGCACCAGGAAAUGUGCUUCUUUGCAAGUUUUAUAGUGAUUUUGGUGCUAGUAGAUCGUGAGCCACAUUUGAGAAUCCCUUGAUUAUCAUAGCAAAAUGUGAGGGCAAAAUGUGAGGGCAAAAGGAGAUGGAAGGGAGGAAGAAUAUGUGAAUCAGAGAGGGACCAGCUAAGCUUUCCACCCUAUGCUACACAUCAAAUUCUGAAAAUAUGUGGCACCAAAAAUUACUCUCAUUGUAUAUAAUGAACACCAUGCAUGUUUAAGAAGGUUAUAUUUAGUCCAAUACUAGCAAGAAAAAAAUAGCAAGGUGAAGGCUGUUACAGUGAAAGUGAAUGCUCCUCUACAAUUGGGUACCUUUUACUAUAAAUCCUAUCCCCCAUCCUAUAGAAACAAGUUUUUUGUUUUUUUAAUAUUUUGUGCCUUGCUAAUAAAUCAUGGAUGGUCUCAUUGUCAAUUAAACUUCUCUUUCACUCUUUGCAUUAAGGAGGAUUCUGAGAACAAAGAAAAAGUUGUUUUCUUUAGAGGUAUGGGAUCAUUGCAACAAGAAAUAUAAACACUGUGAGAAAAGGGAAAACAUAACACAGAAAAAAGUAUGCUAGAAGGAUGUUCUGGUUAUUAAUUUCUAUGUAACAGCUUACCACCAUCUUAUUGCCUAGAAGCCGCAGCUACUUUAUUGUAUCUCACAAUUGUGUAGUUCAGGAAUUUGGGUGGGGCUCAGCUAAAUAAUUCUUUUGUUCCACCUGGUAUCAAUGGUGGUUGCUGGUGGUAUUUGGGUGGGGGUUGGGCUGGUCUAGUGAGUCCAAGAUGACUCCAUUCCAUGUCUGCCUCCUUGGAGGAAAGAACUAGAAGGCUGGGCUCAGCUGGGGCUGUCAUCUAGAGUGUGUAACUGAUCACCUCUGCAAUGUGACAGGCUCUGGCUAUCUGAACAGAACGAAGAAACUGCCUGCUUUUUAAGGUCUAGAACUGGAAACUGGCACAGUGUCACUUCUGUGCUAUUUUAUUGGUCAAAGUAGUCACAAUGCCCAGAUUCAAGUUCAGAGGACCGACCCCACUGCUCAAGGAGAGGCGUGUCAAGGAAUUUUCACCCAGAUACUUUAAAUCUACCACAAAAAAUGGUUGUGGAGACUCACAUAAAUAUUUCUUUCUUUCCUGGCACAGCAAGGAUCACCAAACAUGUAAUCAUUAUUUUCUCCCCCGCAACCCACAAGGUGAAAAAGUCUUCAAUAGAUGGUUAAACAUAUGAAAUCAGAAUUCAUGCCAUUUACUCUUUUUCCUUAUUAAUACUGUAAGGAGCUCUAGGCAAAGAUCCAAAAUUGUGUUUUGUAUGUAGUGACUCCCUGGUGUAUGUUAAUUUGUUUUGAGGUGUGUUACAAACAGUAUGUUGCUGAUAGUAAUUAAAAAUAAUUUUUCAAAUAAUUAACUUAUUUUAAAAAAUAGAGUUGGGUUCAGUGUUAUUCUCACUCUCAUGAAGAGUUACAUGUACUUCCUAGAAAUCUCCCCGGGUAUGGGUUAAGCCUGUGGGAAUGUUCCAGCAGGUAGAAAUCACCAGGCAUUACUGGUGAUAAGGAAAAUAUUCCUUGAAGAUGUAAUUUUUCAGUUGCGUUCCAAAGAUGAAUAGCAGUUAACUGUGCUAAGAGUUAAGAGUGUUUCAGGCAGAGGGAACAUGUGUAAAAGUCUUGAGGCUGAAAUAGGCUUGUCUUAAACAAAUAGCUUGGGAGAAAAUUAAGAUCUAGGAAAGCUAAAGCAAGCCGGCAGUGAUUUGGGAACACGGCGAAUCACUUGGGCAGAGACCGAAUACUC
rnacentral:lncRNA from 1 species